rnacentral:lncRNA from 1 species
UUAGAAAAUUCCAAGGUUUUGGAAUAUUUGAAGAAAUUUUUAAAAAUCAAUAAAGAUUUUUUAAGCUUAGUUUGAUAUUGAGCUCUAUCUAAUGCUAUUAGAUAAAAUGAAGUUGAGGAAAAUAUAUAUAGGGAUAUAUUUCUGUGUUUUUCGAUGGAAUCGCAGAAAAUAUAUCCUAACCGACUCAUCGCGAUAUGCUAAAUGCAAUAUUAUGUACCGAAACAAAUAGAGUAUUAUUCCAACGUACUUUCUCGCCGCACAUAACGCAAUCUCCCUCAAAUUCCAAACGAAGUGAAAUAUUUUUAAUAUUUUUAAAAUUUUAAAAGUAUAUUAGAUAUUAUUUCUUAAUUUUUUAUUUAACAAAUAAUAGCCUACUAUUUAUUAGGGUUUAAGAUUUUUAGGGGUUAGAAAAGGAAAAAAAAAAGAAAAGAAAAGAAAAAAAAAAACAUUGUU